AAGUCGUAACAAGGUUUUCGUAGGUGAACCUGCGGAAGGAUCAUUAGUGAAUCGUGGAUUCCUCUGCAAAGAGAAGGUCCAUUUUACACAUUUCACAAACACAUGUGCACUUGUUCUUUCCUUCUUAUAAAUUUUAUAAAAAAAUUUAAAUCAAGGAAUUUACUCCUUAAACACUUAUGAUAAUGUCACAGAAAAGUCAAUGAUGUAAACCUAUGAUAAAUGAAAGUAAAACUUUCAGCAAUGGAUCUCUUGGCUCUC
rnacentral:misc_RNA from 1 species